rnacentral:rRNA from 1 species
GAUGAACGCCGGCGGCGUGCUUAACACAUGCAAGUCGAACGGGAAAUAUUUCAUUGAGACUUCGGUGGAUUUGAUUUAUUUCUAGUGGCGGACGGGUGGGUAACGCGUGGGUAACCUGCCUUAUACAGGGGGAUAACAGUCAGAAAUGGCUGCUAAUACCGCAUAAGCGCACAGAGCUGCAGGGCUCAGGGUGAAAAACUCCGGUGGUAUAAGAUGGACCCGCGUUGGAUUAGCUUGUUGGUGGGGUAACGGCCCACCAAGGCGACGAUCCAUAGCCGGCCUGAGAGGGUGAACGGCCACAUUGGGACUGAGACACGGCCCAGACUCCUACGGGAGGCAGCAGUGGGGAAUAUUGCACAAUGGGGGAAACCCUGAUGCAGCGACGCCGCGUGAAGGAAGAAGUAUCUCGGUAUGUAAACUUCUAUCGGCAGGGAAGAUAGUGACGGUACCUGACUAAGAAGCCCCGGCUAACUACGUGCCAGCCGCCGCCGUAA